rnacentral:rRNA from 1 species
GACGAACGCUGGCGGCGUGCUUAACACAUGCAAGUCGAACGGAAAGGCCCUGCUUUUGUGGGGUGCUCGAGUGGCGAACGGGUGAGUAACACGUGAGUAACCUGCCCUUGACUUUGGGAUAACUUCAGGAAACUGGGGCUAAUACCGGAUAGGAGCUCCUGCUGCAUGGUGGGGGUUGGAAAGUUUCGGCGGUUGGGGAUGGACUCGCGGCUUAUCAGCUUGUUGGUGGGGUAGUGGCUUACCAAGGCUUUGACGGGUAGCCGGCCUGAGAGGGUGACCGGCGACAUUGGGACUGAGAUACGGCCCAGACUCCUACGGGAGGCAGCAGUGGGGAAUAUUGCACAGUGGGCGGAAGCCUGAUGCAGCAGCGCCGCGUGCGGGAUGACGGCCUUCGGGGUGUAAACCGCUUUCGCCUGUGACGAAGCGUGAGUGACGGUAAUGGGUAAAGAAGCACCGGCUAACUACGUG